rnacentral:rRNA from 1 species
CCUACGGGGGGCUGCAGUGGGGAAUAUUGGACAAUGGGGGGAACCCUGAUCCAGCCAUGCCGCGUGUGUGAAGAAGGCCCUCGGGUUGUAAAGCACUUUCAGUGAGGAAGAACGCCUGGUGGUUAAUACCCAUCAGGAAAGACAUCACUCACAGAAGAAGCACCGGCUAACUCCGUGCCAGCAGCCGCGGUAAUACGGAGGGUGCGACCGUUAAUCGGAAUUACUGGGCGUAAAGCGCGCGUAGGUGGCUUGAUAAGCCGGUUGUGAAAGCCCCGGGCUCAACCUGGGAACGGCAUCCGGAACUGUCAAGCUAGAGUGCAGGAGAGGAAGGUAGAAUUCCCGGUGUAGCGGUGAAAUGCGUAGAGAUCGGGAGGAAUACCAGUGCGAAGGCGGCCUUCUGGACUGACACUGACACUGAGGUGCGAAAGCGUGGGUAGCAAACAGGAUUAGAUACCCUAGUAGUC